rnacentral:rRNA from 1 species
CCUACGGGUGGCUGCAGUGAGGAAUAUUGGUCAAUGGACGAGAGUCUGAACCAGCCAAGUAGCGUGAAGGAUGACUGCCCUAUGGGUUGUAAACUUCUUUUAUAUGGGAAUAAAACGUUCCACGUGUGGGAUUUUGUAUGUACCAUAUGAAUAAGGAUCGGCUAACUCCGUGCCAGCAGCCGCGGUAAUACGGAGGAUCCGAGCGUUAUCCGGAUUUAUUGGGUUUAAAGGGAGCGUAGGUGGAUUGUUAAGUCAGUUGUGAAAGUUUGCGACUCAACCGUAAAAUUGCAGUUGAAACUGGCAGUCUUGAGUACAGUAGAGGUGGGCGGAAUUCGUGGUGUAGCGGUGAAAUGCUUAGAUAUCACGAAGAACUCCGAUUGCGAAGGCAGUUCACUGGACUGCAACUGACACUGAGGCUCGAAAGUGGGGGUAUCAAACAGGAUUAGAUACCCGUGUAGUC